CGGACGGGUGAGUAACGCGUGAGGAACCUGCCUUGGAGUGGGGAAUAACAGUUAGAAAUAGCUGCUAAUACCGCAUAAUGCAACUAAGUCGCAUGGCUUUGGUUGCCAAAGAUUUAUCGCUCUAAGAUGGCCUCGCGUCUGAUUAGAUAGUUGGCGGGGUAACGGCCCACCAAGUCGACGAUCAGUAGCCGGACUGAGAGGUUGGCCGGCCACAUUGGGACUGAGACACGGCCCAGGCUCCUACGGGAGGCAGCAG
rnacentral:rRNA from 1 species